GAGGGCUAAGGACAGAAGAUGAUCUGAAAAAUAUUGGCUGUGAAUACAGUGGGUGGGAGCCCACAUGCUUGAAAUCUUAUGACAAAAUGUGUAUUCAUCUUCCCCAAAGUUCUUUGUGGAGUGGAACUGAAUAGCACUUCAGAUAGCACCCUCAACUGUGAGCUAACAUAAGGCCCUCUGUAAUGCAGUUAAAUCCUGUGGUGUGCAUACUUAAAGGAAUAGAAGUUCUCAAAGACUGCAUGCAUAAGACCCAAAGAGAAACAUUAACUUUCCUCAAUCGUUGAGAGCAGUAUCCACCAAUAAACAUAAUUAUCAUGAGAACUCAAAUCCUUAGCAUAGCCAAGAUAUAUGUCAACAUAUGCAUCACAAAAAUGAACAAGAGCCACCUGGACCACCAACUGAUGAUAGAUACAACAGUUCUUGCAAAUGCCAGGCUAAGGCCUGGGACAUCAUUCUCUGAUUUGAUAAUCAUCUCCUUGAGAAGUUCAAUCUAGAAAGGACCACUGCUGAGCUGAAAGUGUCUGUGAGUGAGUGAAUGAAGAUCUCUAUUAGACACGUGCAGUUCUCUGCAUAUGCAAUCUUUCCUACUUGUUCUAAUAACCAUUUUGAAAAGUAAUGUUAUUAAAGAAGAAAAGUAAUGUUACUGAUUACAAAGAGGGGUGGGGCACGCGUAAAUCUCAUGUUAUUAAAGCACGAAACUCCUCACGUUUUAUACUUUACCAGUGUUCCGUCAUCACAGGCAUCCAUAAAUGGCAGUAAUAAAAACUUUUUUCUUUGUAUGUAUAUAUAUUAAAAAAAUAG